rnacentral:rRNA from 2 species
CAACUUUCAACAACGGAUCUCUUGGUUCUGGCAUCGAUGAAGAACGCAGCGAAAUGCGAUAAGUAGUGUGAAUUGCAGAAUUUAGUGAAUCAUCGAAUCUUUGAACGCACAUUGCGCCCCUUGGUAUUCCAUGGGGCAUGCCUGUUCGAGCGUCAUUU